AUUUUAUUAUUCUUAAUAUCAUAAUAAUUACAUAAGUGAUUGCUUAACUACUAUAAUCCACACAUACAUUUCUGUUCUUAUCUAUUUCUAUAAUAUUUGAAAACUCUGCGUAAACUACACAGUUAAUUGUUUCAGUCAAUGCGCUCUCGAAUCUUACUUCCAUUCUUACACUACCAUGGCGUACAAGAUUCCAAUGCACAUUAGAGUUAGCCGACAAGUCAGGUGUUAAAUCAAAAGCUAGUAAACAGUAUCCAUUUGAAUAUUGUUCCCUCGAUAUUCCAUUACCUUCGUUAAGAAAAUGUAUACCGGUGCCUGAGUACAGGGUGUGGUAUGCGCUAGUAAAUACAUCGUUUGGAAAUGAUGGUUGUAACGAUUUUGAAGGUAUCUGUUGACCAUCUAUAUAUAGGCUAAAUGAGCAAAUACCAAAAUUUUCAAAGUUGAAAGGAUUUUUAACAUAACUACCGUUGAAUGCUGUAUUAUUCACAAAACCUAUAAUACAUCUCUUAGGAACCUGUCCUAAAAUAUACUUCAAAAGUAAUGAAGGUUAAUAAAAACCUGAUAAGGUUAUUCGUUUAUAUUUUCAUAUUCGUAAAUAUAUUUUAUUGUUCUUAAUAUUAUAAUAAUUAUACGUAUAUGUGGUUGCUAAACUACUAGAUACACACAUUUCUGUUAUUAUCUAUUUCAAAAAUAUUUUAAAAAUGCAAUGACUAUUAAGAUUGCAAAGGGUAUUUAGAGUGCCCUUUGUAUUUCUUAUCCACAUUUUACUGAUAGGUAUGGAUACUUGUUCAAACAUGCAGUCGAGUUGAAUAUCGUAACUAGAUAAUGAUAUCCAUUACCAGUCUAUAUAACCCGAUACUUGUAGAAAGAUUUAGUAUUGUGCUCUAAGUUCGACAAAAGUGAAGUGGUUGAAAGUUUGAAAUAAUAAACAACAAUGGAGUCUUCAUACAACCUGAAAGAUGUGGAUAAAUGUUUCAGACCAUAUAAUUAUUAUAAUUUAUCUGAUGAUGAAGAAGAGGUUUUAAACAUAACAGAAAAUAAAAAUAAGAAGACCAAUCGUUUAGAUGACUUUUUUCUUCAAGAACCUGACCGGAAGAAGAAAAAAACUAAACUUUCUUCAAGUGUUGGCCGUGCAGGGAAGGAGGGAAGCAUUUCAUAUAUAUCGACUGAUAAAGAUGAUGGAAUGGACGCUGACAUACUUGUGAAAAUGGAAUUAUAUAGUUUAAAAAAGUUGAAAGAAAUCCCAGUGGCACAACAUUGGAAAAAUGCAGAUAUUCGUGUUAAAUAUUAUAUGAAAAACGAUUCCAACAUUGAUGUUCAGAUAAAGGAUAUUGUAUACAACAUAACAAAGGGGAUAUCCGAGGAAGAUAGUGUAAAACGUUACAGUUUUAAAAAUUAGUUUCAUUUAGUUUCUUCAUGCUUCAGAUUUUAAUACCAUAUGUUUAUAUAAUUAAGUAAUGUUUCAGUUUUCCACUAGUAUAAAUACUAUGUUGCAUUGUACAAAGUCAAUCAUUGUGCUUUUUGUUGAAGACCUUUGCGCAUUAAGGUUAAAAGUGUGAGACAAAAAACAGUUGUGAAACGAAUACAUAUAUACAAUGUCUCAAGAAUGUGUUAGUGUUUUUUUUGAUGAAAUGGAUCAUGAAUUUGAAAGCUUAUCCAUUGAUACAAUUGAACUUUUCAACGUUUGUGAUGAAAUAGAAAGAAAUGAUUUAAAUCACCCAUUUUAUGAUCAAAGAAUGAUGGUGCUAUGUGAUGAAUUCGAUGGGAAACUGGUUGAUCAAAUGGGUCGUGGAACUAAAAGGAAAGCAGCUGUUGAUAUUAACUCUGCUGACAUCAAAAGAAUAAAAUCUGGAUCGAACAUGGAUCUUUCACGGUCUUCACAAGAGCAAUCAACAUCGAAUGAAGGUAAUAAUUUUAACAUGAAAUUUUGCUGUAUUUGUAAUAGAAAUGUUUCCAAAAAAUAUUUCGCUAAUCAUCUAAGGAGCAAUGCACAUAAAAAUAAUGUAAAUAAAAAACAACAUUCAAUAAAACCCAAUGUUAAGAUAAUUGAGACUGCGUUCGGUAAUAGAAUAAUAACCUAUAGAGUAACUUCAGAAAAUCAAAAUGAUUUACAGUUUGAGACACCAGAGUUAUUUCUUGCAUCUGUCAAAGAUACAAUAUUUACAAUAAUAAAUAAAUCUAUAGAAGAUCAUACAAUUUUAAAAAUAAAUUUCAUUUUAUAUGGUGACUUUGUUCAGGAGACAAAAAACAUUAACAACACUUUUGAUUUCCAAUCAAUGAAUUUUAUUGUUUGUAUUGGUGAUGAUUUAAAUAUAUUUUAUACAACUCUCACGAAAUCUCUAAUAAACUAUAUAAAUUCAUUCGAGAGAAAGGAUAGUGGGUGGAGUCUGAAAAAAUUUUUACAUUUGGAUAUGAAUUUAAAUCAAUUUAACCCUUUAAGAGGAAAAUCCUUUAUUGAGUUACCACAUGAUAUAAAAAUAAAAAAAGCUGUGAUAAAUGUUAAAAACACUGAUGACGCCUGUUUUAAGUGGGCACUGUUAUCUGCUUUAUUUCCAAUUCAUAAAAAUUCGGAUAGAGUAUCAUCAUACACCAAAUACAGUCAUAAAUUAAAGUUCGGUAAUAUUAAAUUUCCAGUCAAAUUAAAGGAUAUACACAAAAUUGAAAGUCUUAAUAAUAUAAGCAUUAAUGUUUUUGGGUUAGAAUAUAAUGAACAAAGAAAAAAGCAUUGUAUUGUUGGGCCAUUGUAUUUUACAAAGAAUAAAAUGCAGACUCAUAUAAAUUUACUAUAUUUGACACAGGGUAAAAUCGGUCAUUAUUGUUAUAUAAAAAAUAUGUCACGAUUAAUAAGUAGUCAAGUUUCGAAAUCCAAGGAAGCUAUAUAUCUAUGUGACUUUUGUUUACAAUAUUUUUCAACAUCUGAACGUUUAAAUAACCAUCAAAAAAAUGAUUGCAGACAUAUUUGUACACAAAUACCAAGCGUAGAUAAAAAUAAAAAAAAUUGGUGGGGCGAUAUUGUAUCUGAAAAUAAAUUAAGUUUUGAUAAAUUUCAACGUAAAUUGAUGUUACCUUUUGUUAUAUAUGCGGAUUUUGAGGCUUUUUUAAGUCCCUUAGCGUCAUGUUCAAACGAUCCUUCAAAAUCACAUACAAUAAAUGUACAAAAACAUAAUGUGUAUAGUUUUGGAUACUACAUUAAAUGCUCAUACGAUGAUAAAUUGUCUAAAUAUGUAACAUAUACUGGUGAAAACUGUGCUUUAAAAUUUAUGGAAACCCUGAAAGAUAAUUUGACAACAAUUGUUAAAAAAAUUGGUUUCCAAAAAGUUGCUAAUAAAAUAUCACCAAUUCAGCAAGAUAUAGUUAGCAAAUCUAUUCAUUGUUAUAUUUGUAAUAAAAUUUUGUGUGGGAAUUCAAUGAUUUACCACGAUUGGUUUACUGGGGAAUUUGUUGGGGUCAUACAUAAAGUUUGUUCAGAAAAAUUUAGAGUACCUUACACUAUACCAGUCUUCUUGCACAAUUUAAGCCAUUAUGAUGCACAUUUUAUCGUACAUGCCUUAAACUUUGAUGAAGGUCAGGUAGAAGUUCUCCCACAAAACAAAGAAAAAUACAUAUCAUUUUCAAAGGUUCUUAAAAUCAAUAACAGUAAUGUAACUUUACGUUUUGUGGAUUCCCUAAAAUUUUUACCCAGUAGCUUAGAUACUUUAGCAAAAAAUUUAACAAAAAAUAAUUUUAAUGAAUUAUCAAAAUGCUUUCCCAAUUCAGAAGACUUUAAACGGCUGACUAAAAAAGGUGUAUUUCCAUAUGAAUUUAUUAAAGAUUUUGAUACAUUAAACUACAAUCAACUUCCAGAUCUUCCACACUUUUACAGUAGUCUCACAGAUUCCAUUAUUUCUAAUGAAGAUUACAACCAUGCCAAAGAUGUUUGGAAUCAUUUCAAUUGUAAAAAUAUGUUGGAUUAUUCAAAUCUUUAUUUAAAAACUGAUGUUUUAUUGUUAGCAGAUAUUUUUGAAAAUUUUAGGCGUGUUUGCAUUAAAACGUACGAUUUAGACCCGGCUCAUUACUAUACAGCACCUGGAUUAAGUUGGGAUGCUAUGUUAAAACAUACUAAAACAGAGAUUGAAUUACUUUCUGAUAUAGAUAUGAUUGCUUUUAUUAAAUCAGGAAUUCGUGGUGGUGUUUCGCAAUGUAGCACUCGCUAUGCAAAAGCAAAUAAUGUUUACAUGUCUGACUAUAAUGCGAAAGAUAAAGAGUCAUUCUUAAUGUAUUUCGAUGCCAAUAAUCUAUAUGGUUGGGCAAUGUCACAAUAUCUACCUACAGGUGGUUUUGAGUGGGUUAGUGCUGAUACAGAUUUUAAUGUUAGUUGUUCAUCAGAUAUAGGUUUUAUCUUAGAAGUAGAUCUGGAGUAUUCGGUGGAUUUACAUGAUAAACAUUCAGAUUUACCUCUUUGUCCAGAAAAUAUACCAGUUGGGGACGCUAAGGAAAUUAGAUUGAUUCCAAACUUAAAAAAUAAAUCCAAAUAUAUUAUUCAUUAUCGAAAUUUAAUUCAAUGUUUGAAAAUGGGUUUAAAAUUAUUAAAAGUUUAUAGAAUAUUAAAAUUUAAGCAGAGUCCAUGGUUAAAGAACUAUAUAGACCUUAAUACACAAUUAAGAACUCGAGCUAAUUCUGAUUUUGAGAAAGAUUUCUAUAAACUCAUGAACAACGCAGUUUUUGGUAAGACUAUUGAAAAUAUUGAGAAACGAGUUAACGUUAAACUGUUAACCCACUGGGAAAAUAGGGGCAAAGUAUCGGGGGCUGGGGAUCUAAUUGCUCAACCACAUUUUCACAGUGUUUCAAUAUUUUCUGAUAGUCUUGUUGCAAUUCAAUUAAACAAAAUGAAAUUAAUUUAUAAUAAACCUAUUUAUCUCGGAUUUUGUAUAUUAGAUAUAUCUAAAACGCUGAUGUAUGAUUUCCACUAUAAUUACAUGAAAGAGAAAUUUACUUCAAAUCUGAAACUACUGUAUACAGAUACUGACAGUCUCAUUUAUCAAAUAUUUACUAGUAACUUUUAUAAUGAUAUAAAGCCAGACAUUUGUACACAUUUCGAUACAUCAGAUUAUAAUCCAAACAAUGUUUUUAAUUUUCCUCAAGUAAAUAAGAAAAAAUUAGGUUAUUUCAAAGAUGAAAAUUGUGGUAAAAUCUUUACAGAAUUUGUGGGUUUGCGAUCAAAAAUGUAUGCAUUACAGGUAGAUGAUAAAAUUAUUACUAAGGCGAAGGGUGUUAACAAAUGUGUCACUAAAAAAUUAACGUUGGAUAAUUAUAAGUCAUGUUUGUUUAAUAAAAACGUACAGCAUUGUAAAAUGUAUCGGUUUAGAUCAUUAAAACAUACAAUUUUUACACAGGAAAUAAAUAAGGUGUGUUUAUCUUUUAAUGACACAAAGCGGUACAUUUUACCAAACAAAAUCGAUACGUUACCUAUAGGUCAUUACCAAAUCAAUAGUAUGUAAUUAAGUAUUGU